GCGAACGCUGGCGGCAGGCCUAACACAUGCAAGUCGAGCGCCCGUAGCAAUACGGGAGCGGCAGACGGGAGAGUAACACGUGGGAACGUACCCUUCAGUUCGGAACAACCCAGGGAAACUUGGGCUAAUACCGAAUACGUCCGUAAGGAGAAAGAUUUAUCGCUGAAGGAUCGGCCCGCGUCUGAUUAGCUAGUUGGUGAGGUAACGGCUCACCAAGGCGACGAUCAGUAGCUGGUCUGAGAGGAUGAUCAGCCUCACUGGGACUGAGACACGGCCCAGACUCCUACGGGAGGCAGCAGUGGGGAAUAUUGGACAAUGGGCGCAAGCCUGAUCCAGCCAUGCCGCGUGGGUGAUGAAGGCCCUAGGGUUGUAAAGCCCUUUCGGCGGGGAAGAUAAUGACGGUACCCGCAGAAGAAGCCCCGGCUAACUUCGU
rnacentral:rRNA from 1 species